GGUGUGUGUAAUUUAAAAAAAAUAUCAAGUUGUGACCCUGAAAAUAGACCCCCUCACACA
rnacentral:tRNA from 1 species